rnacentral:rRNA from 1 species
AGCGAACGCUGGCGGCAGGCUUAACACAUGCAAGUCGAACGCCCGUAGCAAUACGGGAGUGGCAGACGGGUGAGUAACGCGUGGGAACAUGCCCUUUGGUUCGGAAUAACUCAGGGAAACUUGAGCUAAUACCGGAUAAGCCCGAGAGGGGAAAGAUUUAUCGCCGAAGGAUUGGCCCGCGUCCGAUUAGCUAGUUGGUGAGGUAAUGGCUCACCAAGGCGACGAUCGGUAGCUGGUCUGAGAGGAUGAUCAGCCACACUGGGACUGAGACACGGCCCAGACUCCUACGGGAGGCAGCAGUGGGGAAUAUUGGACAAUGGGGGCAACCCUGAUCCAGCCAUGCCGCGUGAGUGAUGAAGGCCCUAGGGUUGUAAAGCUCUUUCGGCGGGGACGAUAAUGACGGUACCCGCAGAAGAAGCCCCGGCUAACUUCGUGCCAGCAGCCGCCGUAA